rnacentral:rRNA from 1 species
GCUUAACACAUGCAAGUCGAGCGGGGAAGGUUGCUUCGGUAACUGACCUAGCGGCGGACGGGUGAGUAAUGCUUAGGAAUCUGCCAUUUAGUGGGGGACAACAUUCCGAAAGGAAUGCUAAUACCGCAUACGUCCUACGGGAGAAAGCAGGGGAUCUUCGGACCUUGCGCUAAAUGAUGAGCCUAAGUCGGAUUAGCUAGUUGGUGGGGUAAAGGCCUACCAAGGCGACGAUCUGUAGCGGGUCUGAGAGGAUGAUCCGCCACACUGGGACUGAGACACGGCCCAGACUCCUACGGGAGGCAGCAGUGGGGAAUAUUGGACAAUGGGCGCAAGCCUGAUCCAGCCAUGCCGCGUGUGUGAAGAAGGCCUUUUGGUUGUAAAGCACUUUAAGCGAGGAGGAGGCUACCUAGAUUAAUACUUUAGGAUAGUGGACGUUACUCGCAGAAUAAGCACCGGCUAACUCUGUGCCAGCAGCCGCGGUAAUACAGAGGGUGCGAGCGUUAAUCGGAUUUACUGGGCGUAAAGCGUGCGUAGGCGGCUUUUUAAGUCGGAUGUGAAAUCCCCGAGCUUAACUUGGGAAUUGCAUUCGAUACUGGGAAGCUAGAGUAUGGGAGAGGAUGGUAGAAUUCCAGGUGUAGCGGUGAAAUGCGUAGAGAUCUGGAGGAAUACCGAUGGCGAAGGCAGCCAUCUGGCCUAAUACUGACGCUGAGGUACGAAAGCAUGGGGAGCAAACAGGAUUAGAUACCCUGGUAGUCCAUGCCGUAAACGAUGUCUACUAGCCGUUGGGGCCUUUGAGGCUUUAGUGGCGCAGCUAACGCGAUAAGUAGACCGCCUGGGGAGUACGGUCGCAAGACUAAAACUCAAAUGAAUUGACGGGGGCCCGCACAAGCGGUGGAGCAUGUGGUUUAAUUCGAUGC